UCGAGAAUCAUUCACAAUGGAGGCAACUCUGAUGGUGCAACGCCGCGUGGAGGAUGACGGUCCUAGGAUUGUAAACUCCUGUCAUUGGGGAGUAAGACUUAAGCGUUAAGAGCGUUUAAGUUUGAUAGUACCCAAAGAGGAAGGGACGGCUAACUUCGUGCCAGCAGCCGCGGUAAUACGAAGGUCCCAAGCGUUGUUCGGAAUCACUGGGCGUAAAGCGUGUGUAGGCUGCGCGGAAAGUCAAAUGUGAAAGCCCGGGGCUCAACCUCGGAACUGCAUUCGAUACUCCCGUGCUAGAGUAAUGGAGAGGUAAGUGGAAUUCCUGGUGUAGCAGUGAAAUGCGUGGAUAU
rnacentral:rRNA from 1 species